GAACGCAUCUUGCGCUCCUUGGUAUUCCGAGGAGCAUGCCUGUUUGAGUGUCAUUUAACUUCUCAACCACGUCGUCGUGAUGUGGCUUGGAUUGGUGGGGGCUCUUUGCAGGUCCUUCUUUUUUGUCUGGCCUGCUCCCCUGAAAUGCAUUAGCGGUAUCUGAGCAGCUGCUGUGGGUGUGAUAAAUCUAUCUAUGCCUCUUUGGUGUGCUGCAUGAGCAGAUUGUGCCGCUUCCAACCAUAAAAUGACGAAUUUGACCUCAAAUCAGGUAGGACUACCCGCUGAACUUAAG
rnacentral:misc_RNA from 1 species